rnacentral:lncRNA from 1 species
GGAACUCCAGAAUUUUUUAGAAAAACAAAAUGAAAUACUAAACACUUAAACACAUUAAAAAAGUUGUUAGGGAUGCAGUUUCAGUCUUGUUAGGACACAGUAGGAACUUAAUAAGUAAAGCAUAUUAAAGAAACUCGCAUUUUAAGAGUCUUAUGCUCUACCGACUAAGCUAGUGGGGCAGUUAGAAAGUGGAAUUUUAAAUUCUUAGUCCAACCAGUUACUGAGCUAGGAAAUUCAUAUACUUCAUAUACUGUUACUGUGGCAGAUAUUAUCACUCCACUUCACAGAAAGGUUAAGUAAGUACUUCAGAGUCACACAACCUGUAAGUAAGCCUGAAGUCAUGCUCAGGUCUGAUUCCCUCCUAAUGUAAAGAUUUUUCUACAACAUCACGUGAUCUCUUUAAAAAUAUGUUUAUUGUACAGCCUGCUGUCUAAAAGUUCAGUGUGCUUUUCCAAAUAUACCACAGUAAGAAUUUUUGCCAUUAACUUUGUUCUAUGCGAGGCACAGAAAGAGGCAUUAUGGAGACGUUUGAUAUUCCAGUAAAUUUCAAACUCCAUGGAAAAUACUAAUGAGUAGUCAAUGCUUUUUGAAAAAAUUUGCAUUUGUAGACGCUCAAAUUUUAGGAGGAAGCUCAUUCCUUUGGCAGAUGCAGUGCAUACAUUGUCUGGAUAAACUAAAGCAGCUUUAAUGUCUUCAUCUGUGAAACAAUUUUUCAGUUGAAUAAAAAUGCAUGGCUAAGUUCAAGUAUAGAGAACAGAGUUUGUAGAUUCAUAGCAUUUUAUUUUAUUUUAAUUUUUAGGUUAAAGGACUGUGAAAACUUUAGCAAGAUGUGACUGAGUGACAGGAGGAACCGAACUUUCUUUAACUUACACAUGUAUAUCUAUGAUACAUCACUGUAUCCCCAGUUCCUCUGUAGUAUAGAAAACUGUGUGUGUCCUGUAGGCUGCUGACUGAAUGCUGGGUAAAGAGUUCUAUAGAGAAUGGGGAAAUUGAGGAGAAGAUUGAGGCUGCUGGGCCACGAUGUAUGAGAGAGAAAGCCCCCUCUUUGCCUCCCUCCCUUUCUUCUGAAAGUGUGUUCAGUGCCUAUUAAAUAUAUGGCCAGUGACUAUGCCGGGAUCAGGGAAUAAGUAGAGAAAUGAACGCAUCUCUUAGUUCAAGAAGCCCGUAAUGGGAAGAAGUAGAUCUUUUGAUAACACAGGUGGGGUGGUCAGAAGGUGGGUGUGUACCAGUAGCAUCUGGACCAUAGAGGAAGGAGUCAGAAGGAGGCAAAGAAGAUGUUCCAUAAGAUAAUGCAUGAGUCAAAGCUUAAAUAAAGACUAGGGGCUUGGAGUUCCCACUGUGGCUCAGCAGUUAACGAACCCGACUAGUAUCCAAGAGGAUGUGGGUUCGAUCCCUGGCCCCUCUCUGCGGGUUAAGGAUCCAGUGUUGCCUUGAGCUGUGGUGUAGGUCGCAGAUGCGGCUCGGAUCCUGCAUCGAUGUGGCUGUGAUGUAGGCUGGCAGCUACAGCUCUGAUUUGAACCCUAGCCUGGGAACCUCCAUCAUAUGCUGCAGCUGUGGCCCUAAAAAGACCAAAAAAAAGAGUAGGGGCUUGCCAGGGGGGCAACAGGAGCAAGAAAGAGGGCAUUCUGGGCAGAGAGGCCAGCACACUGUGCUCUGAGAACUUGUCAGUACUUCACUCUGGCUGAAAGGUAGUCUUUGGGAGAACAGGAAGAGCAGGAGAUGCUGAGAGGGCUGAGAGGGUUCAGAUUAUCGUAAAAGAGUCCCAGCUGCCAUCAGUGACCCUCUGAAUUUUGGUUGUUAGUAAAUUGGCAACUGCAGAAGAAUUAUUUGGCAAUACAAUAAUACCAGGUUUAAAAAAUCGUUGUUAAUAUUUAUUGAGCAGGCACUGUAUGUCAGGCAUCCUUUUAUUUUUUUUUUAGGUUUACAUGAUUUUUAUUUUUCCCUUAUAGUUUGUUUACAGUGUUCUGUCAAUUUCUGCUGUACAGCAAAGUGACCCAGUCACACAUACAUAUACAUUCUUUUAAAUGCUUUGCAUGCAACUCGUUUAAGCCUUUCAAGAACCCCCUAAGGUUGUCUAGCACGAGGAGCUGUACCCCAUAUUCUGUGAUCAUCUGUGUUGGAAAAGACUCUGAAACAGAAUAGAUGUGUGUACAUGUAUAACUGAAUCAUUUUGUUGCACAGCAGAAAUAUCACAACAUGGUGUAUCAAUUAUACUUCAAUAAAACUUAAAAAAAAAAAACAAACUGUGAGGCACGGAUGCUGUGCUUCUGUCAAAGAUCAGGACGUGGAGGGGGACUCUGCUCACGGUCAGCUGUGGGAUUAGAGCCCAGGGUUCAGCUGCGUGGGCUGCGUGGACAGGAGGAGACCGGUCAGAGCCUGGCAGGUGGAGGCGGGAGCCCGUCCAGGCCCAGGCCAGACAGAGGCGGGGCAGAGCAGUGAGAGCACGGAAAGCUCCAGAACGGGUUGAGUCACUUUCUCGUGAGCAGCUGUGCCGAUUCAGGUCCUGCUGCCUUUUCCUCUUGCUGCUGCCUCCCACUUAGAACUCUGGUCUGUUCCUUCUGUUUAGGUUUUCUCAUCCCUCCUACUAGUAAUACUUGUUUACUCAAUUCCUUUAACAAAUAUUUGUCAGGUUCUUAGUUGAUGAGAGGCUGCCUUAAUUACUGUGCAGUUACAG